rnacentral:rRNA from 1 species
CCUACGGGGAGGCAGCAGUGGGGAAUCUUGCGCAAUGGGCGAAAGCCUGACGCAGCGACGCCGCGUGGGGGAUGAAGGUCUUCGGAUCGUAAACCCCUGUUGCCCGGGACGAAUGCCCCAUUUGUGGGGAGCGACGGUACCGGGUGAGGAAGCACCGGCUAACUCUGUGCCAGCAGCCGCGGUAAUACAGAGGGUGCGAGCGUUGUCCGGAAUCACUGGGCGUAAAGGGCGCGUAGGUGGCUUGCGAAGCGAAGGCCCGGAGCUCAACUCCGGGUCGGCCGUGCGUACUGGCAGGCUUGAGCACGGUAGAGGCUAAUGGAAUUCCGGGUGUAGCGGUGGAAUGCGUAGAGAGCCGGAAGAACAUCGGUGGCGAAGGCGGUUAGCUGGGCCGUUGCUGACACUGAUGCGCGACAGCGUGGGGAGCAAACAGGAUUAGAUACCCGAGUAGUC